CCUACGGGAAGCAGCAGUGGGGAAUAUUGGACAAUGGGCGAAAGCCUGAUCCAGCCAUGCCGCGUGUGUGAAGAAGGCCUUCGGGUUGUAAAGCACUUUCAGUGGGGAAGAAAGCCUUGGGGCUAAUACCCUCGAGGAAGGACAUCACCCACAGAAGAAGCACCGGCUAACUCCGUGCCAGCAGCCGCGGUAAUACGGAGGGUGCGAGCGUUAAUCGGAAUUACUGGGCGUAAAGCGCGCGUAGGCGGUCUGAUAAGCCGGUUGUGAAAGCCCCGGGCUCAACCUGGGAACGGCAUCCGGAACUGUCAGGCUAGAGUGCAGGAGAGGAAGGUAGAAUUCCCGGUGUAGCGGUGAAAUGCGUAGAGAUCGGGAGGAAUACCAGUGGCGAAGGCGGCCUUCUGGACUGACACUGACGCUGAGGUGCGAAAGCGUGGGUAGCAAACAGGAUUAGAUACCCUAGUAGUC
rnacentral:rRNA from 1 species